AGAGCGUACGGUGGAUGUCUUGGCAUAUAGAGCAGAAGAAGGACGCAGAUAACGGCGAAACGCCUCGGGGAGUCGUACACAGGCAACGAUCCGGGGGUAUCCGAAUGGGGAAACCCGAUAAAGUUGAAAAGCUUUAUCAUCCUUAAGCCAAUACAUAACUUAAGAGAAGGCAACCCAGGGAAUUGAAACAUCUUAGUACCUGGAGGAGAAGAAAAUAACAAUGAUUCCGAGAGUAGUGGCGAGCGAAAUCGGAGCAGCCCAAACCAGCAACGAGCUGGGGUAGUAGGACCACAGAAAGUGAUUGAAAAGAGAUAGUCGAAUGGCAUUGAAAGGUCAGCCGCAGAAGGUGCAAGCCCUGUAGGCGAAAUCUCGAUUCACGCGAGUGGGAUCCUGAGUACGUCGGAGCACGUGAAACUCUGACGGAAUCAACCGGGACCAUCCGGUAAGGCUAAAUACUCCUAUAUGACCGAUAGUGAACCAGUACCAUGAGGGAAAGAUGAAAAGAACCGCGGGAGCGGAGUGAAAUAGAUCCUGAAACCGUAUGCUUACAAAAAGUCAGAGCACAUUAAGGUGUGAUGGCGUGCCUUUUGUAGAAUGAACCGGCGAGUUAUCUUUACAUGCGAGGUUAAGCAGACAAUGCGGAGCCGUAGCGAAAGCGAAUCUUAAUAGGGUGGCAAGUAUGUAGAGAUAGACCCGAAGCCGUAGUGAUCUAGUCAUGAGCAGGUUGAAGGCUGGGUGAAUCCAGCUGGAGGACCGAACCGACCCCCGUUGAAAAGUUGGCGGAUGACUUGUGAUUAGCGGAGAAAUUCCAAUCGAACACGGCGAUAGCUGGUUCUCCCCGAAAUAGCUUUAGGGCUAGCGUUGAACGAAUCUACCCGGAGGUAGAGCACUGAAAUCAUGCGGGCGGCAUCUCGCCGUACCAAAUGAUAUCAAACUCCGAAUGCCGGGCAAGAAUAUUCAGCAGUCAGACUGUGGGUGAUAAGGUCCAUGGUCAAAAGGGAAACAGCCCAGAUCAUCAGAUAAGGUCCCAAAAUUUACGCUAAGUGGAAAAGGAUGUGGAGACGCGCAAACAGCUAGGAGGUUGGCUCAGAAGCAGCCAUCCUUCAAAGAGUGCGUAACAGCUCACUAGUCGAGUAUCUCUGCGCCGAAAAUUAACCGGGGCUAAGCGUAAUACCGAAUCUAUGGAUUUAUACUUAGGUAUAAGUGGUAGGGGAGCGUUCCAUACAGCAUUGAAGGUAUACCGUAAGGAGUGCUGGAGCGUAUGGAAGUGAGAAUGCCGGUGUGAGUAGCGAGAUGUGGGUGAGAAUCCCACACACCGAACAACCAAGGUUUCCAGGGGAAGGUUCGUCCGCCCUGGGUAAGUCGGGACCUAAGGCCAGGCCGAAAGGCGUAGUCGAUGGACAGCAGGUUGAUAUUCCUGCACCCGCGAGUAAAGUGAUGGAGUGACAGAUAGGGUUAGCCCUAGUCCUUAAUGGAUUGGGCAAGGCAAGCAGGAGAGUGGCGUAGGCAAAUCCGCGCCGGAUACUCAAAGGCUUGACUCAAGCGAACGCGCGAGCAAGUAGUGAAGAGGGCGAUACCAGGUCUCAAGAAAAGCUUCUAGCGAUAAUUUACUAGCGGCCCGUACCAAAACCGACACAGGUGGUUGAGGCGAGUAGCCUAAGGUGAGCGAGAGAACUGUUGCCAAGGAACUCGGCAAAUUGACCCCGUACGUUAGCAAUAAGGGGUGCUCGAAAGAGCCGCAGUGAAUAGGCCCUAGCAACUGUUUAACUAAAACAUAGCUCUCUGCGAAGUCGCAAGACGAAGUAUAGGGGGUGACACCUGCCCGGUGCUGGAAGGUCAAGGGGAUUUGUCAGACGCAAGUCGAAGCAUUGAACCGAAGCCCCAGUGAACGGCGGCCGUAACUAUAACGGUCCUAAGGUAGCGAAAUUCCUUGUCAGGUAAGUUCUGACCCGCACGAAAGGUGUAAUGAUUUGGGCACUGUCUCGGCAGCAGACUCGGUGAAAUCUUAGUACCUGUGAAGAUGCAGGUUACCCGCAACUAGACGGAAAGACCCCAUGGAGCUUUACUGUAGUCUGCUAUUGAGUUUCGGUUAAGUAUGCACAGGAUAGGUGGGAGACGAUGAGACUGGUCUUUCGGGAUCAGAGGAGUCACUGUUGGGAUACCACUCUUACUUAAUUGAAAUUCUAACUCUAAGCCGUGAUCCGGCUAGAGGACCGUGGCAGAUGGGCAGUUUGACUGGGGCGGUCGCCUCCCAAAGAGUAACGGAGGCGCACAAAGGUACUCUCAGAAUGGUU
rnacentral:rRNA from 1 species